CCUUAGUAACGGCGAGUGAAGCGGCAAAAGCUCAAAUUUGAAAUCGGCCUCCAGGUCGAGUUGUAAUUUGUAGAUUGUAUUUUUGAUUUGGUAGAAGUCUGUUGGAACACAGCGCCUUAGAGGGUGAGAGCCCCGUAAAACCUAUUCAAUUGUAAAAUACUUUCAAAGAGUCGAGUUGUUUGGGAAUGCAGCUCUAAGUGGGAGGUAAAUUCCUUCUAAAGCUAAAUAUUGGCGAGAGACCGAUAGCGAACAAGUACAGUGAUGGAAAGAUGAAAAGAACUUUGAAAAGAGAGUGAAAAAGUACGUGAAAUUGUUAAAAGGGAAGGGUACUAAAUCAGACGUGGGUGUUGUGUUCAACUUUGUCUCGGCAAAGUGUACUCGCAACAUCUAGGCCAAGGUGGGAUAGUUGGGCAGGAAAAAGCUUGAGGAAAGUGGCUCUUCGGAGUGUUAUAGCCUUUUGUAAUACUGCCUCGGCUGUCUCAGGACUGCGCAUUUUGCUAGGAUCUUGGCGUAAUGAUUUUGUACCGCCCGUCUUGAAACACGGACCAAGGAGUCUAACGUCUAUGCGAGUGUUUGGGUGUAAAACCCGUACGCGUAAUGAAAGUGAACGUAAAUAGGAGCUUUAUAGCGCACUAUUGACCGAUCCUGAUGUUUUCAGAUGGAUUUGAGUAAGAGCAUAGCUGUUGGGACCCGAAAGAUGGUGAACUAUGCCUGAAUAGGGUGAAGCCAGAGGAAACUCUGGUG
rnacentral:rRNA from 1 species